AAUCUGGAGAGAGGCGCCGCCCGGCGCCCACCGAAGGAGAAACCUCGCUCGCGAUCCGAGUGAGGGAAGCUCUCAGGUAACCGCGACAGAUGGGG
rnacentral:ncRNA from 1 species